CGAACGGGUGAGUAACGCGUGAGGACCCUGCCUCAAAGAGGGGGACAACAGUUGGAAACGGCUGCUAAUACCGCAUAAGCCCACGGCUCGGCAUCGAGCAGAGGGAAAAGGAGCAAUCCGCUUUGAGAUGGCCUCGCGUCCGAUUAGCUAGUUGGUGAGGUAAUGGCCCACCAAGGCAACGAUCGGUAGCCGGACUGAGAGGGUGAACGGCCACAUUGGGACUGAGACACGGCCCAA
rnacentral:rRNA from 1 species